rnacentral:rRNA from 1 species
ACGGAAGGCAGCAGUGGGGAAUAUUGCACAAUGGGGGAAACCCUGAUGCAGCGACGCCGCGUGAGUGAAGAAGUUAUUCGUAAUGUAAAGCUCUAUCAGCAGGGAAGAAAAUGACGGUACCUGACUAAGAAGCCCCGGCUAACUACGUGCCAGCAGCCGCGGUAAUACGUAGGGGGCGAGCGUUAUCCGGAUUUACUGGGUGUAAAGGGAGCGUAGACGGUCUGGCUAGUCUGAUGUGAAAGGCAGGGGCUCAACUCCUGGACUGCAUUGGAAACUGUCAGUCUUGAGUGUCGGAGAGGUAAGCGGAAUUCCUAGUGUAGCGGUGAAAUGCGUAGAUAUUAGGAGGAACACCAGUGGCGAAGGCGGCUUACUGGACGAUAACUGACGUUGAGGCUCGAAAGCGUGGGGAGCAAACAGGAUUAGAUACCCUGGUA